rnacentral:rRNA from 1 species
UACGGAGGAUCCGAGCGUUAUCCGGAUUUAUUGGGUUUAAAGGGUGCGUAGGCGGCCUGUCAAGUCGGCGGUGAAACCCCCGGGCUCAACCCGGGGAGUGCCGUCGAAACUGGCGGGCUAGAGUACGUUGGAAGUGCGCGGAAUGUGUGGUGUAGCGGUGAAAUGCAUAGAUAUCACACAGAACACCGAUUGCGUAGGCAGCGCACUACGCCGCAACUGACGCUGAGGCACGAAGGCGCGGGGAUCGAACAGG